GAUUCCCCUAGUAACGGCGAGUGAAGCGGGAAAAGCUCAAAUUUAAAAUCUCAUUAGAGAAUUGUAGUUUAUGAAAGCGUUUUCGAUGAAGGCCUGGGUACAAGUUCUCUGGAACGAGGCAUCAUAGAGGGUGAGAAUCCCGUCUUUGAUCUAGUAACCUUCACAAUACGAAGCGUCUUUUAAGAGUCGGGUUGUUUGGGAUUGCAGCCCUAAAUUGGUGGUAUAUUCCAUCUAAAGCUAAAUAUUGGCGAGAGACCGAUAGCGAACAAGUACCGUGAGGGAAAGAUGAAAAGAACUUUGAAAAGAGAGUUAAAAGUGCGUGAAAUUGCUAAAAGGGAAACGUUUAACGCCAGUGUUGGGUAUAGGAAAUCAGCCUUGGUAUUCCGGGGUGCACUUUCCUGUAUCCAGGUCAACAUCAGUUUUUUGUGCCGUAAAAAGAUUGGUAGAAGGUGAGUACAUUAGUACUGUUAUAGCUCCAAUAAAUGCGGUAUAAAAGACUGAGGAACGCGGUACAUGUCAUUCCCAGUUGCCGUUCACUUAAGGGAUGAUGACAGCAUGCUGAUAUUAUUACUUGAGGGUGCGCCCGAUUGAAGAAUAAAUGUGCUUAGGAUGUUGACGAAAUGGUUUUAAAUGACCCGUCUUGAAACACGGACCAAGGAGUCUAACAUAUAUGCGAGUAUUUGGGUUGCAAGCCCUUAUGCGUAAUGAAAGUGAAUGUAAGUGUGAAGCUUCGGCUGCAACAUUGACCGAUCUGGAUUUUUAAUGAUAGAUUUGAGUAAGAGCAUGUAUGCUAGGACCCGAAAGAUGGUGAACUAUACCUGAUUAGGCUGAAGCCAGAGGAAACUCUGGUGGAGGGUCGUAGCGAUUCUGACGUGCAAAUCGAUCGUCAAAAUUGGGUAUAGGGGCGAAAGACUAAUC
rnacentral:rRNA from 1 species